GCAUUCAAGAGCAGGGGCUCUGAGCACCUGUUUGAGCUGUAGGUGUCCCUGUGCACUGAAGGGCAGUUGUACGAGAUGACCUGUAAGGAUCCAUUCUAACUCAAAGGAUUCUAUGAGGACUGCUCCUGCCCUGCUCCAGGAAUCCCAGCUUCUGGCAGGUUCCUGCUAUCUUUCUGCUAGGUCCAGACCCAAAAUUAUGAACCCCUGUUUUCUGCAGCAGAAGCCCUAAGAACAUAGCCACAUUGAACAUAUGAGAAAAGAUACAAACCCAUUGAUUGCGCUGGAAACAGCAUUCAUUUUUUUGCAUCCUCCAAUUCGGGGAAAGAGCUCAAGGAUCUGCAUCUUCCUGCAACACAACAGUGCAUAACCUCUGGUGAUCGUAUAAUUCAAAUUUGUUUACUUAAGCCAAGAAGGUUUUAGGCUUUUGCUUAUAGAAACAUAAGUGGAUUGUGAUUAGAAAAGUUAUGUUUGGAUGUGGCUUUGAAGCCUUUUGAAGGGUCCUGUGGAGGUGCUUUCCAAGAAUGCAAGCAGGAUUACACUCAGACUUGUGUUAUUCAGAAUAAUUUUUUCCACAAAGCAAGCUCUAUUGGGUGUGGAUUUAGAACUUCUUAUCUCCUUUUGCACAUUUCUUAUUGCUUAGGCUAAUACAAGUUAAAAUUGUUCUACUCUUGUAGAGCAUGGUAACACUUACCCCAUAUUAUGCCAAGCUUGUUUUGGGAUAAAUGUCUAAGAGCAGUUAUUGCAAGAUAAAUAACAGGUGAGAAAAUCAUACUUAAUAACCUUGUAGUAACUUGUUCUUGUGGCUCAAUCCAAUCUCUUGAUAUUUGUUUGAAAUUGUCUUCCAUACCUACUGGUUGAAAAUUGGAAGGACAGCAUAUCUCUUGCAUCCAUAUUAUGAAAUGGGAAAUGUUUGUGAUGAAUUGUAAAAGCGGGAGGGGAGGUGGAGAAGACUUAGGGGGUACCAUUCUGACAAGCUGACAGUUUUAUAGUAAUUAAUUAACUGGAUUAACUCGUAAGUUUAGCAAACUAUUGUGCCAAAUGGGACAGUGGUUACAGUUUCCUGAGUAUAUUAGCUGAUUAGCAUUGAUUUACCAUCCAGAUCACUCUUGGAUUAAAUAAAGCUUUCAAAAAAAAAACAAA